GAGCCAGUCCGUGAGCGAUAACUCAUUUUGACACGCUUACUUUGAAUUAUGUGUUUAGCUACGUAAUUUUUCACCGACUGGAAAUAUAAACGAAAGUUUUAGUAAAACAAACUAAAUCGAACUAUUAACCAUAUGCAAAACCCGGUUAUUUACAUUUUUGACUUUUAUAAUUUGCACAAAGUUAAUGUUAAUCAAGUAAUAAAUACAAAACUUCAUUAUUACUUUUAUGACAAUAUAAUUAAUAAUUUGAUGUAUUGUUAAGGCAAAUAUAAUUUAUGAUGUAAUGUGAUGUAUUGUUUAGGUAAUAUAAU
rnacentral:lncRNA from 1 species